AAAACAAACCCAGAAACACGUUAACUAAGACUGGGAAUUCACACAUGUGCCUAUAGAGAAAGACAGUUACUUCUCCAGCAUUUUGUCUUUCACAGUCACCUAGAAAUCUGGAGCCUGGUACAGGACUGCACUUGUUAUUAAAUAAUGUAGCUGCAAGUACAUAAACUAUACCAAAACAUCACUGUGGCUUCAUGUGGCUAUUUAAAUUUAAAUUAAUUAAAAUUAAAAACCAGAUACUCAGUUGCACCUGCCGCAUUUUAAGUACUCACUGGUCACAUGUGGUGAAUGACUAUUGUAUGGGACGGGUCGGACAAGAAGCAUUUCCAUCAUCACAGAAAGUUCUGGAUGGUGUUGGUAUACCGCACAAAUUGGCUUGCUGUUUUUUUUUUCUACCUGCCCAGGAGUCAUGGAGAUUAAAGUGAAAUUACAGACUGAUGUAAAAAAUUUGCACAUAGGUCCCUAACCCAGGAACAUGAGACCAUUUUAAAAAAUGGUUUGGAGACAAACUGAUUGCUCACCCUAGGUUAAACUCCCCAUCAUGACUGAUAGGCAAACUGACAAAAAUAGAGUUCAGUUGAGUGACAGUUAAGGAUUUAAAAUCCAAGGCAUUGAAUAGAACAAUGGGAGCACUGUAUUCAUUCUGUUUCUUUUUUCUCCCACUCUCAAAUUUUAGUUUAAUGGCUGAGUCAGGUAGGUUAAAUGUGUGCGACAGAGUGUAUUCUGUUUUAUGUGACUAUAAAGGGCACAUGCUGAAAUGUAGAAUAUUAAUAUGUAAAUCAAUGCAAUUUUUCAUAAUAGAUAUAUAAUUAAAGUGCUUAAGCAAUAGCAAAUGCAGCAGGUAUUUUGAUCACUUUUUAAUUCUAUAGCCCUUCAUCUGAUCACUGUGCUUCUCUCUUCUUAUUCCGUUAUGCCCACAAUAGAAGUUCUGUUGAUGGGGCACAACUCAUGAUCUCAGAAACUGGGGUGGUUCCUUUUUGAAGGCUGCUGCUCAAUUGCCUCAAAUAUUAGGUAAUACAUACAAAAUUAUGGAUAAUUUGUUCUUCAGUAGGAUUUUUUGUAAGAAAAGAUAUUAUUUUUCCUGGAAAGAUUUUGUGUGUUACUCUUGAUAUAUUUCUCUUGGAUCUAUUUUUAUUUUCUUCAUAAUUAAAAUUUUGAGAGUGUUAUUGGCUGGGUGCAGUGGCUCAUGCCUGUAAUCCCAACACUCUGGGAGGCCAAGGUGGGUGGAUCACUUGAGGUCAGUAGAUCGAGACCAGCCUGGCCAACAUAGCAAAACCCUCUUUCUACUAAAAUAAAAUUAGCCAGGCAUGGUGGCAUGUGCCUGUAAUUUCAGCUACUCGUGAGGCUGAGGAACAUGAAUUGCUUGAACCUGGGAGGCUGAGGUUUCAGUGAGCCGAGAUCGUGUCACUGCACUUGCCUUGGUGACAGAGUGGGACUCCGUCUCAGAAAAAAAAAAAAAAAAAAAAA
rnacentral:lncRNA from 1 species